rnacentral:lncRNA from 1 species
UUGUGAUAAAAAUGCGUACGAUAGAAUAAAAUCUAUUAAAAACUUAAAAAUCUUCAGAAUAACUGGAUAUUAGCUCAUGUAUUAAACCAAUACAGUUAGAAUUAUUUUCCUUUAAUUACGAAGCUAUAUUUAGAUAACCCAUCAGCUAUUAAGCAGUAAUAAUUAACCUAGCUUCUCUGUUACACUAAAAAAAAAAACUUAGCUUCUGCAAUCGUGUAGUGAAUGAAGAUCUAAAGAGAAAAUGUUUAUGAUGAUAAUUUUUAUUUUUAUAUAUAUAUAUAUAUAUAUUUUUUUUUUGAAACAGUUUAUGAUGAUAAUUAUUAUUUUAUUUUUUCCUCAAAAGGAAUUAUAUUGAUUUAAGCAAUGAGAUUAGAGUGCAUUUUUUUUUUUGAAACUAUGAGAUUAGAGUGCAUAUAAUACCAAAAUACAACCAUUAGAGGUCAAACACAGACCACAUCUUUGAUCUAUACAAACAGCCAAAAAU